rnacentral:rRNA from 1 species
CCUACGGGAGGCAGCAGUGGGGAAUAUUGCGCAAUGGGCGAAAGCCUGACGCAGCGACGCCGCGUGAGGGAUGCAGGUCUUCGGAUCGUAAACCUCUGUCAGCAGGGAAGAACGGUCACUGUGCUAAUCAGCAGUGAAUUGACGGUACCUGCAAAGGAAGCACCGGCUAACUACGUGCCAGCAGCCGCGGUAAUACGGAGGGUGCGAGCGUUAAUCGGAAUUACUGGGCGUAAAGCGCUCGUAGGCGGUAGGUCAAGUCAAGGGUGAAAUCCCCGCGCUCAACGUGGGAACUGCCUUUGAAACGGGCAAACUGGAGUGUGUGAGAGGAUAGUGGAAUUCCAGGUGUAGGAGUGAAAGCCGUAGAUAUCUGGAGGAACAUCAGUGGCGAAGGCGACUAUCUGGCACAUAACUGACGCUGAGGAGCGAAAGCGUGGGUAGCAAACAGGAUUAGAUACCCGAGUAGUC